rnacentral:lncRNA from 1 species
GAACAUAGAAAGUGGGGCCAAAGUGUUGGUGUGCUAAAUCGACCCCAAGCCACAUGGCAUCAUCACACAAGAUCAAGGAAUCAUUGAUCUCAAAGUAUCGCACAACUCUACAUCAAGCUACUUACAAGUGAUAAGGUCGGAUUACAACCGACCUAAAGCAAAGUACCUCAGUGUCCCAUAUAUCUGGGAUGUUGAGAAGCUCGGGUGGU